UGAAAAUAGGAAAGCUUAACAGCUCCAGUAUCGGAAUGACAGUCAUUAAUAUUGUAACGGUUCGAAUGUUGGCAUUUAAAUAAAUUUUAACAAGUGAUUUAUACAUUAGUUUAAUAGUAUAAUUAUGUGUGGAAAAAAAGAAAUAUAUGCCACAAUGAUAAAUUAUUUAUACAAUCACUGUGCUUCAAUACUUGCAUGUGUAAAUGAAUAGAUAUAGUGUGCUGCAACGUAGUUUUACAUAAAUAAAUAUUCAGAUAUUGCAUUAAUAAUUGAAAAUGCUAUUUGUUUUAAGCAUUAACAUAUUUUUAUGACUUCAGAAUGAAAAUCGAUUUUUCAAAUUGCCUCCAACAGAAGCUCAAUCUACAACGAGUAAAAUAUGAAAAUGCCAACACUUGACACUUUACCAGUUUAACAGUGAUAAGGAAUAGCGACAUUCAGACAUAUUACAUACAGACAUAAAUAGGAAAUUAUAACACAGCAUUUCCUACAAACAUUGACUCUUCUGUUUAUAUCUGCAUUGCGCAAGCGUGCUCCCAUCCCCACAGUUAACAAUAGCAUCAAUGGCAAUUGUACAUAGUACAUUUGUAGUAGGUGUGGUGGAUUAAAUGGUUAAAAUAAAAUAGCGACGAUGUCAGUGUCUUUUGAAGUUUGGCCUCGUGUAGACAAGUCUAAGCGGAUCCGUCAUCCUUUUCAAAACGGAUUGAGAGUGGCGAGUUUUGUACAAACAUAAAACGGUUCUUGUGCAUAAAUAACCCUACACUCAUGUGUGCAUACAAACAUACAUACACUAGCAUGUAGUUAUUGAAUUUUCUUCAUACAAAAUGGGCUUUUUGCAUUCAGACAUUAUAUGGAAAUAUUAGUAGAUUUUGUAUGCAUUAGAAAUGCAUAAAAACUUAAAGUGAAAACACAUAAACAACUACUAGGAAACGCAAAUAUCAUAAAAAUUAGUUUUGAACUCAUUUUCCGUUGACGCUAAUGAAAGUAGAUUUACUCCGUCUCGAGCUUAAGGCAUAACACUAUUUCAAUAGAUUUGGCAGGAUGCAUCUGCACUUCGAACCGAGUGUGAAUACAAAAUGUGAUUGCACAAUACUGUCGCUCUCAUGGAUGGGUAAAGUUCCUGAUGAUAUUCCAGAGGAUGAGGGCUGGAAACUGAAUCGGACAAACUAUUAUCAAGAAGGGUGGUUGGCUACCGGAAAUAUUCGCGGCAUUGUCGGAGUGACAUUUUCAACUUCACAUUGUCGCAGAAAUUUGGACUUUCCGACACGAACCAAUUACAAUCUGCGUGGACAUCGAUCCGAUGUUAUUUUGGUAAAAUGGAAUGAACCAUAUCAGAAAUUGGCUUCGUGUGAUAGUUCCGGCAUCAUAUUUGUAUGGAUCAAAUAUGAAGGCCGUUGGUCCAUCGAACUGAUCAACGAUCGCAAUACACCAGUAACGUAUUUCUCCUGGUCACACGAUGGACGUAUGGCGUUAAUUUGCUAUCAAGACGGUUUUGUGCUUGUGGGCUCGGUGGCCGGUCAGCGUUAUUGGUCAUCAAUGUUGAAUCUGGAAUCAACCAUUACAUGCGGUAUUUGGACACCAGACGAUCAGCAGGUGUAUUUCGGCACCACACAAGGCCAGGUCAUCGUUAUGGAUGUGCAUGGUGCGAUGGUGUCGCAAGUGCAACUUUGCAACGAUGUUGGCAUAACAGCAAUGGCGUGGUCAUGUGAAAAGUUCAAAAUGGAGGAGGGUGAAGAAUCCGAGCCAGGUGUUACCAAUGCUUCAAAACGCUCUUUUGUAUUGGCUGUUAGCUUUCAAAAUGGUUUUAUAUACUUGCUAAAGUCUUUCGAUGACGUAUCGCCUGCACAUAUCAACACAGGACUUAGCGGCAGCAUAGGCAUGGUGAUGGAAUGGAGUAAUUCGCGUGAAUUGCUCGCUGUCGCUGGCACUUCGCAAAGUUCGUUAAACACGUUUGAUCAACAAGGGGCACCGCUUUAUGAAAAUCUAUUAAAAUUUUACACCGAAUCUGGCAAAAUACUGUACCAGACACGCCUACCGAAUACCUCUGCAACGGUGUCGGCCCUCACGUGGGGUCACAACGACAAACGUCUGUUCAUCGCGACUGGCACCCAAGUGCACAUAGCAUGGGUGUCCAGACGUAUUGCGUCACUACAACUGUUAUGUCGCCUACAAAUACAGACGAGCAUAGGCUCAGAGCGCUCAUUGCACCUGCUACCGUUGCCGUCACGAAUUAGGAGUCUGAUUGGCAAUCUUUUUGCGCAAACAAUAAGAUGCUGUGUACCUGAUCUUAAAUCCGUACGGGAGUUCGUCUCCCGACCACCAAUGUGUUCGACGCGAUUGCACUGCACCAUGAUUCGGCACGACGAGGAUCCGACCCAAAAUACAGGCAUUUGCUACACACUCUAUUUGGAAUAUUUGGGUGGUCUUGUGCCGCUUCUCAAGGGUAAACGCACCUCGAAAAUACGUCCAGAGUUCGUGAUAUUUGAUCCACAAGCGAAUGAUUCCCCGGUAUUCAUGCAAUACUCACCAGAAUGGAAAAGCUCUUCCGGCUCGAGCCAAUCUACAACCACCGGACAAAGCGGCAGAACGGAUUCUUCUGAUAGUGAGUUUGAAGAUCGUUACCGUAGCUCUCCACGUCCAUUACGUCAUCGGAAAUUGCGACAGAAGAAACGAAAUCAGAGCAAUGGAGAAAAGUAUUCAGUAAACACCAAUAUUGAUCCCGAUAGCUUGGAUGAACUCGCUUACGUUGAUACACUUCCUGAAGAAGAAAAACUGGUUGAGGUUACCUCAAAUAUUUGGGGUACCAAAUUUAAAAUUCAUGGACUUGCCAAAACCGUCCCAGCCAAUUUAGGCCAAAUAACGUAUAAAACGUCCCUAUUGCAUCUGCAGCCAAGGCAAAUGACACUAGUUAUAACAGAACUGCGUGACGACUUUCCUUCGGGUCCGGAUCCAAAUUUUAAUCCGAACAUUUUUUCCGAAGACGAAGAUGAUGCAGCUCUACACAAUGGCAGUAAAAGUAAUGGCAAUGCAUAUAACUCGACACUGACAAAUGCGGAGAACCAGAUGAGAGCCACCUCGACGGCAACCGCAAAUCGUCGCCUCAACGAGUUAUCCCCACCUAUUGCACCAAUGUCACCACGUCCUAAUCACCUGUUGGCGCGACACAAAAAUGCACUCAAUAACAAUGGAAUACAGUGUGCGAUAGGCAACACUGGCUUAAGUCCAUUGGCUAGAGCCGAAUCUUAUGAUGAUGAUUCGUCUAAUGAGUCACAAGAUGUAAAUACCUAUUAUAAUGGCGCCAAAGCCAACCUACCGACCGGCAAUUUACUUCACACCACAAACGGAUCAAAUAAUAACAAAAUGGUGCGCCCGAAAAAUAUUACUGCCACUACACCGGGUAUGCGCAGCAGUCUAGGCCCUGGCUAUAGUAGUUUUAAAAAUAACUAUAGUCGUUCGAGUUCAAACUCGAGCUCACAGUCCCGCCAUGCUAUAUCGCCUCUGUACUGUGAUGGAUCGGUACCAACAUUACAAUCACCGAAAAAUGCCGUCGGGCCUACGGAUAUAAUUUUUGAACGUCCUGCUGUCUCGGGCAAUGGUCAAACCACGGUUAUGUCUUACUCCAGUAAUACGGAUUACGCAAAUAAUGUUGUGCAAGUGAAGAAUGUUUUGCUACCUGAAAUGAUUCGAUCUACAAAUAGUCAUGUCAACCCAGUACCGUUAAAUCUUAAUUUGAACCUUGAACGCAUGGAUGCAAGACUUAAAACAACAGCGUGUAGCAGUAAUUUCACAGCGAAUAAUAAUCCCGUUAACAACAACAACGCGAAACGUCGAGAUAUUUCGUAUAUAGAUGAAGAAGUUCAAUCCCCGACCCAGCAAGCUUUGAUUACUUUCACUCCCGUCUCUACACCCGUCGAAGUUCGCAUGAAGCGCACGACAACAGUAGUGUCCAUAGCACCUGCUCUGCCCGAUUCGAUUACCAGAAGUUGUAGUGUUGGUUACUUGGACUCCGAUGCUAUUACACCGUCCGAUGAAGCCUUAAUGGCUUUGCGUAGAGACGCGCCUACUAAACGUUUGAUCUUAGUUGAUAAACGUAAGACUAGAAAAAAGCGUCAAAAUAAUGAAGAUUCCCGCAAACCAAAAUUGGAAAGAUCGGGAAAAUCAAAGAGUCUAGACUCCUGCGAUUUAGUCUUCAGUCAAACAAAAUUAACCAGCAAAGAACCCGACAAAGUAACACGAAAACUUCAGGAAAUCGCGGAAGGUAAAACCAGCAGUACCGAACCCAGUGAACUAACAAAAUGUUUCAAAUGUCACAGAAGUGUUAGUCCCAACGAACAAUGUAAACAUUGCCAGCCAGUCCAAACUGCAGUCGACGAGCAACAAAAGAAAGAAGAGAAAAUACGUAUAGUGUCCACUACUCCGAAGAAGGACUUCACAGCCAACACGCAUAUUUAUGAGAAUUUAUAUAAGAGUCAAGAGCAGCAAAAACAAAUCCAACGUAAAACGGGAGGUACACCGAGAAAGAAAAAGUUGGAUGUAAUCACCAGCUUCACCGACAGUCCACUUUUCACGCGAAAGCAUCGUUUUGGCAUCAGAAGUCGAAGCAAAGAAACUGGAAGUAGCAGCGAAACAAACACUGAAAGCACCACACCACUACUGGGUCGUAAAAAUGAUAAUGGCUUUAGCUUCGUAAAACAAUUAACUGAGGUACGCUGGCGACGUAGAGAGGCACAGAAUAAUGUAACUACUGUAAAAAAUCAACGCGAUUACUUGGGACACACUCAAGGCGUAAGCACGAAUGGGAAUACUGUUGAGGCUACGCCAGUGGAAACUAAAGCCUCAGUCUCUUUGCAAGCGCAGGCCCUUACAACAUUAGAGAACAUUAUCAGCCGUUUACGAGACCUCGACGAGGGCCGUCUCACACCGCCCACUACACCGAAACGCCUACCACGAAGCUCGCCAGCAUCGCCUGCCGUUAGUAAAAAGAACAAACGUCAGAGUAGUUCGCCCAUUCGGCACUUUUUGAAUUCACCUCUUUUAAAUAGGCGCUAUCGUAAAAAACAAUGCCUCAUAGAAAGUUCAGAUGACGAAGGCAACGGUACAAAUGGGUCAGGCGAAGAAAACGGUGGUGCCAGUUACAAUAAGCAAUAUCGUGAUUUGGAAACAUUCCAAAAGGCACAGCUACUACAAAAGUUUUAUGUUCCCUUGAUCCCGUAACCGAUCGCCAAGAGGACCUUCGAAAUAGCUGUCAGGUGGUAAGGAAGAUUUGUCUGCUUAAAAUUAUCUCAAGCCCAAAAACCAAAAACAUUUAUAAGUAAUUAUCGAAGAAGACAAAUAUAUAUAUAUAGAAAUAUUCCUCUGAACACAGUUCUUUGAAAAAAUCGCGUUGAACAUUUUGGGACCGAUUACACUAAUUGAAAAAAUCCAUUUAAUUGGUUAUACGGUGGACAACUUGAAAUCCAAAUUGUCUUAUACCUCAGGUAUAAUUACCAAAUGGAAAUUGAGUUUAUAAUUUUUAUACAAGGUGAGGAGGCAGUAAGAAUCGACAUUUCAAUUCAAGCAACGUUGGGUUCGAAUUCGUAUACACCCGUAUAACAAUUACAAUUAAAAUAUCGGAAUGAUCUGCUUAAAAAAGUUUAAUCAAGACUUGUAAGCUUAAACAGAAGCAUAGGCACGAUAUUAGGUUGAAAAAUAUUGUUUAUUAACACAUCUCUUAUAUUAAUAUAAAUAUAUUUGUAUAUAUAUAGUUAAAACGUGGCAAAAUAGAGCCGAAUGGUUCUUUGAGCUAUUCAAGCCCAGCUCCAGUUCGACGUGAAUUCGUGAUGCACAACAAGGCGCCAAUGUGGAAUGAACUGAGUCAGGUGUAUCAGCUAGAUUUUGGUGGACGCGUUACACAAGAAUCAGCCAAAAAUUUCCAAAUUGAAUUUCGUGGCAAACAGGUAAUGCAAUUCGGACGGAUCGAUGGAAACGCAUACACAUUGGAUUUCCAAUAUCCAUUUUCGGCAUUGCAAGCGUUUGCUGUUGCGCUCGCCAAUGUUACGCAACGGUUAAAAUAAGUACAUACAUACACACAUAUGUUUGUAUGUAUAUACACAUAUAUAAAGUAAUUAAAGAAAAGCACUGAUCGUCUGACUUUAUUGAUAAACGCGAGUAAUUCAGUGAUUCUAAGUAUUAAGCGUAAAAUACUAAUACUAAAGGGGCCUAAAGUUUUAAUAUACAUACAUACAUACAUCUCUAUACAGAUAUUAGUUUGCGGCAUAAGGAAUGCAUAUGUACUUAUGUGAAUGUAACUUAUACAUACAUAUUCGUACAUUUAUUAGAUAUUGUAACUAUUGUAGUAGUCAAUUUACACGGAUCGUUUCUGCUAAUCGCUUCAAUUAUUUUUAUAAUUACUUUAGAGAAACGUGACAUUCAAGCUUAAAUAAACCCCAAAAAUGUCAAAAUAUUACAAAUAGACUAGCUAAUUUAGUGUUCUGAAAGUAGUCGCCAGUCACUCGAUUAUGUUUAUGAUUAGUUAGGGAAUCCCAUAAAAAAUAUCAGCCACUCGGAAACCAGUUGAAAUUCAUAGGAUUAUCUUUUUGUAGAAUAUCAUCAUAUUGAUGCACCCCACACUCAUUUAAACAAGUAAAAAAAUAUAAGCUUACAUUAUUAAUAAAAAAAUAAAAAUGUAUUAUUUAUAUUUAUAUAUAUUUAUUUAACUAGGUUUUUUUUUUAAAUACCUCAAAAUUAAAGAAUUGUUUUUUUUUCAAAUACCCACAAAACCUAGACGGAGUUCCGUCUUCUAUAAUAUGUACAUAUAUAUUUUGAAAUUAAUUUUAUAAAGGCACCAGCCACACGUAACUCUUCGAUUAUAUGCAUUUACAAUAUUUUAAACUAUUCAAAUAUUACAUUAAGUUGUCAAAGACAAUAUAGACAUUUGAAUUCGUGGCACCAAUUUAUAGUGCCUAACAAAAUCUAAAUAUUUGAGUGAGCGAUCCGUUUCAUGUUUUUGCGUAGUUAAUAACAAUUACAUAGCAUAGAUACAUUUAUUUACUUAUUUGUACAGAAAAAAUCAAUAUACAUAUGUACAUAAGUAGCUAGAAUGGAAACAUAUACGAGUAGUUUACCGUUAAUAGAUUUGCGCACAAAUAGUAUAGAACUCACAUAAGUACAUUAAGUUUUAAUUUAAACAAAUUGUAGUCGCAACGGUUUACGCUUAAUAAACGGUAGUUAACGGUAAAUACAUUAUUAGUAUUAUUUUUAUUAUAUUAAUUUAAGUAUUAUUAUUUUUAAUUAUUGAUGAGAAUAUAAACUGCUUCUGCCAAUUAAAAUUUUCUAAUAUUAUAUGAAUGUAUGUUUUAAAAUUAAUUAGUUGUAUAAAAUAUGCAGACGUAAGUAUAUCUCCAAAUAGUCCAACAACCGCAUUGAGUUUCUUAAGCAAAGUAAUCUUAAAAUGAAAACACUUAUUGGAAAAGAAGCAAUUUAUCUAUCUCACUAAAAAAUUCUUAGUAACUACACUGAUAAAUAUUAAAUUUUGUAAAUUAAUUUCUUCUAAGUAUUUACACGUACUGAGUCCUUCGAUACACUUCGAUGUACAUUCUGAAUAAUGUUGUAUUUACACACAUAUUUUAUAAUGCUAGUUUAAAAAACUCUUAUUCCGAUCCAUUUUAUUUAAAAAUAAUAAUUAAUAUAAUAGAAACGUGAAAAUAAUUAACGUAGGAAAUUACCACAGAAAAAUAUAAUAAUUCUUAUACAAAUUAUAAAUGAACUUAAUGUCUGCAAUACUCGUACAUAUUUUACAUUCAGGUACAGAUUUAAAAGUGUCAUGUUCAGCAGUUUCAUAGCUAUAAAUACGAAGCAACUUGUACAUACAUAUUUAUUCAAAACUAAAGUAAUAAUUUGAAAUUGGUUUUACUUAAAUAGAGUGGCAUACAAAUAAAAGUAUGCAGCUGUGUAACCACUCAUUUAUGGGGCACCAAUGGAGAGAAAUUUAAUGAAACAAACAAAUAUACAUCCUUUCGAAAAAAAUGGGUGAAAUAUUUUUUAUAAUGCUAUGUAUGUAUAAAUUUUAACACGCUUUUAAACAAAAUACACUUUUGCUUCGUAAUCGGAUAUGUAGUUAGUCGCAAUUUCUAAAUUUGCUAUUCAAUUCUAAAUCGCGCUAGUUAUUAAGUAAUAUUGCAAAUGAUUUCUAAAAUACUGUAAAAUUAACUAGUCAGGUACUAUUUAAUUAAAUACUAUGUACAAUAUGUUAAUAUUAUCAAUACAAAAGUACGAAUAUAGAACGCAUACACUCACAAGAGUCUUAAAUACAUUUAUAUGUCAGGAAAUAUGUACAAUACUUUCACCUUGCAUUGCUAACAUAAAACUUAAGAAAUAAACAUUAUUGCAUACAUACAUAUGUACAUUCAUAAAUAGAUACAAAAAAUGCAGCACAAUUAUAGUACAUGAAAAGUAUUCGUGAUUUAUUCAAUAAAUGUAUUUUACCAAUAUGAAUUUCACAACUA